UGGCGACCGGCGCACGGGUGCGUAACGCGUAUGCAACCUACCUUUAACAGGGGGAUAACACUGAGAAAUUGGUACUAAUACCCCAUAAUAUCAUAGAAGGCAUCUUUUAUGGUUGAAAAUUCCGAUGGUUAAAGAUGGGCAUGCGUUGUAUUAGCUAGUUGGUGAGGUAACGGCUCACCAAGGCAACGAUACAUAGGGGGACUGAGAGGUUAACCCCCCACAUUGGUACUGAGACACGGACCAA
rnacentral:rRNA from 1 species